rnacentral:rRNA from 1 species
AUGCCGCGUGAGUGAGAGGGUUUCGGCUCGUAAAACUCUGUUGUUAAAGAAGAACACCUUUGAGAGUAACUGUUCAAGGGUUGACGGUAUUUAACCAGAAAGCCACGGCUAACUACGUGCCAGCAGCCGCGGUAAUACGUAGGUGGCAAGCGUUGUCCGGAUUUAUUGGGCGUAAAGCGAGYGCAGGCGGUUUUUUAAGUCUGAUGUGAAAGCCUUCGGCUUAACCGGAGAAGUGCAUCGGAAACUGGGAGACUUGAGUGCAGAAGAGGACAGUGGAACUCCAUGUGUAGCGGUGGAAU